CGCCCACGAAGGGAGAUAACUUAGUCUGUUGUAAAAAAUGGCGGUGUUAAAAUUUCCCUCUUUUAUUGACGCCGACAAUUACAUCAAAGAGGAAGAAAUCAAAACGUGCGAACGUUUUGUUUUUUUGGCAAGACGUGGGUCACCGAAGUCUACAGAUAAUGGAUGCAUUUUUACAUCUGCUGUGUUUGCCUUUGGAUGGCAGUGUUCUCCAUGUAGCAAGUACAGUAUGGACUGCCAUAUUUUUGGGACAAGACCCUGAUAAACACAGGUAUUUAAGCGAGGUGCAGAUACUGGAGUAUGAUCAUCUGGUUGGAGCAGUCAAUGAGGGUGGAUUCCACUGGUCUCUUAUAGUUGUGCAACCGAAAGACAACAAAGUAUUGUACAUAAAUCCGAUGGGGGAGCAGAAUGUUUCCCAGCAACAGAUCCUGCAACAAUGGAUGUAAAUGUGUACAUUAUUUAAUUAAACAGAUUAGAUACAUUUAACUUCAUAUACUAAAUUAGAAAAUAUCACAGACUGUAAAAUGCUAUGUAAAUAUUUAACUUGCAAAUAAUCAUCAUUUAUAUAAAAAGUUUACACUGAUCAGAUUGUGAAGGUUUUGGUGUCAUGUCCGUUACCGAAAUUAGACUUCCUGACAAUAUGUAGCAUAAGCGUAUUUCCUUCUAAGUUUGAUUGACACCUUUCAGUGGUUUAUGGGAAUAAUUGCUACCAAGAACUUUUUUAUGUCCCCAACCACUAUAGUGGGGGACAUAUUGUUUCUUCCCUGUCUGUAGGUCUAUCUGUUUGUAGGUUUGUUUGUUGGUUUGAGUGUAUGUUUGCGUCAAACUUUAAAAUUUGCCAUAACUUUUGCAAUAUUGAAGAUAGCAGCUUGAUAUUUUGCAUGCAUGCAUGUGUAUCUCAUGGAGAUGCACAUUUUGAGUGGUGAAAGGUCAAAGUCAUCCUUUAAGGUCAAAGGUCAAAUAUAUAGCUUCAAAGCGGCGCAAUAGGGGACAUAGUGUUUCUAAAAACACUUUUCUUGUUUAACCAUGUGACCCUGACAUUAACCUAACUAAAAAUCCUGAUAAUUUACAUUUAGGCUUAGUACUAGCACUUAGCAAGUUUCAUUAAUAUUCCUGCAUUGGUUUGUUUACGAGAAGAGGCGUGGACAAGGGAAACAUUUCUUUACUUUAUGCUUUUGUUUGCUCUUGUUUGAAGUACAAGAAAUCCAUGUUUUAACCUUCUAACCUUGACCCAAAUAAAAAUCCUCACAGUAUGCAGAGCAAGCUAGCUAUUAAUAAAUCUGACCAAGUAACAUUAAAAUCCUUCAUUGAUUUAUGCAAAGAAGCACUGGCAAGGUAAUUAUGUUUUUAACCUUGUGAACUUGACUUAAUUGACAAAUCUGCCAAUAUGCAAACCAAUGCUUGGUA